rnacentral:lncRNA from 1 species
UUUUUAUCUCAAAUUUCCUCUCCAACACCACUUUUUCCUUUAGCUCAUGCCCUCUAUUUAUAGAGAAAUCCUUGCCGCCUAAGUGCUUGGAAAAUUCAAGAAAAAUCGCGUAAAUUAAUGCUGUCAAGUGGCUGGAAUUUGCUGGAUUUUCCACCGCCUUUUUCUUGCUGGAAAUGUCAAGAAAAUCUGCUGGAAUUCUCUACAAGGUUGGCUGGUGGCUGGAAGAAGAAAAAUUCAAAUUGGCCACCACCUUUUUGUAUGCAUGCAUGGGCUUUCUUAACACUCAAGCAAUUGACAACCUUAUCAUUUUCUAGUCAAUAAAAGUGGCUUUAUUAUUCAACAGCCCCAGCUGCUAUAUCAUAAGACAAAUUGAAUGUUGUAGAAAACAGACUAUGAUAAAAGGCGCAAACCAAAACCUAUAUGCUAUAUCUCCGACUCCAUCCCGUUGCGUAGCUGGCAGCCUCGAUGCCAUCGUUGAGCCUUCAACCUUGUGAGUGGAUUGGUAGUGGAUCUUUUGGAGAGCUCUAUUUGGGUAAUUUUGAUUUCCAUUUUUGAACUGUAAAUUUCUUUUUUAGGAGCUCUUUUGGGUUUGAUGUUGUUUGAAAUGAUUUUACUUUGAUUAAUUUCAUGAGCAAAUAUACAAACUGGAGAAGAAGUUGCCGUGAAGUUGGUUGGUAUGAAUGUUCUGUAAUUUUGUGAAUUUUAGUUCUUAUUUGGAAUAAAUUUUUUAAUUGUUCAUUUAUUGUUGGUUAAUCAACGCCUCUUUUGUUAUUGUUUACCUUGAGAAUUAGUAUUUGUAUUUACAAAGCUAGUAUAUUUGUCAAAUUUUAGCUAUUAAUGAGACCUGCUAACAAAUCUCUCUAGUUCAAGCAAUAGAUAUAUUUCUUUGACAUCAAUGUGUGCAUUGAUUUAUUUCAAGCUUCACUUUGUGCACCUUUUCUGUAAUUUGUAGUAUCCUUUUUCUCUUGAAACAAUAUAAUUUGUUUUGUUUUCAGGAAUUUGUUAAAACCAAGCAUCCUCAGCCUUCAACCUUAUGAGUAACUGGAUUUUUCAUUUGCAAAAUGAUUUAUGAUUUAUGUUUUAUGAAUUGUUGUUGUGAGCCUACUAUUUGCUAUCGAGGCUUAUGAUUUAUGAAAAUUGGGAAAUUAGUGAAUGUGUGAUAAACGCAAACUGUGAUUUGUGAUAAAUGAUAAAUUGGGGAAUUUGUCAUAAAUGAUAGAUUGAAGAAUCGUGAUUUGUGAUUUUAGUGCAUUUACAUAUAGAUUGAAGAAUUUCUAAUAUUAUUUAAUUAAAUAUUAACAAACGACCUCACUAUUGUGAUUGUUGACUGUUGACGGUCAACGACCACCCUAGACUGUUGACUGUCAAUGACCGCCCUAGCUGAGGUUCAUUCCUGGAUUCGCCACUGAAUAUACCAAUGGGUGAGAUCUAUAUAUACGAUAGAAUACCUCAGCAGGUUGAUAGCUGAUAGUAAUUGUAGUGAGAACGUAUUCGCAUCUGAUAAAGAAAAAGCAAGGUUAAGUGAGAAAAUAAAUAGGAUGUCAAAAGAGUCGCAAGGUUAAGUGAGAAAAUAAAUAGGAUGUCAAAAGAGUCAUUUAGCUCGGAUCUAAUCAUUCGGCAUCUCGUCUGGGAGUAUGACAUAAAGUUGAUGAGUCAAGAAG